AGGAGAGGGAAGCGGAAUUCCUAGUGUAGCGGUGAAAUGCGUAGAUAUUAGGAGGAACACCAGUGGCGAAGGCGGCUUUCUGGACUGUAACUGACACUGAGGCACGAAAGCGUGGGGAGCAAACAGGAUUAGAUACCCUGGUAGUCCACGCUGUAAACGAUGAAUACUAGGUGUAGGGGGUAUGAACUCCCCCUGUGCCGCAGCUAACGCAAUAAGUAUUCCGCCUGGGGAGUACGGCCGCAAGGUUGAAACUC
rnacentral:rRNA from 1 species